GGAUCCACAGCAGGCUGCAUUAGGGGUUCCAGAUGCAGCCAAGGACGGAGAGCCUACUCAGGAGGAGGAAGGAGUGAGAAUAAAAGGACGUGGGUCUGAGGGGACCAGGGAAAAGACACAGAAGUCAAGAGAAGCGGUUCUUCUGAUCAACCCGCUGGAGGAGAAGGGAGAUGGUGCUGGUGGCCUUGAGAAUCAAGGGCUGAGAACCCAGGCUUGAUGCAGAGAGCUUGGUGAGGAGUCAGCAGCCAACUAAACUGGCUGCUUGAAUCCUACAGCUGGUGACAGUGGAACUGGAUAUGGUGUGCAUGUAUGUGAUUCUCAGAAACCAGCAAAGGAGACGGUGCAUUCCAGGGAGACGCUGAGGGUGUCACCCAAUAGGGAUCUACAGCUGUUGAUUUUCAGAUGUGCUCCACAGACCCCCUGGGGGUUCCAUGGACGCCACCAGGAGCAGUCGACUACUUUUGGGCCCAGGUUUGAGGGUCGUGAAACAGGGCAAUUCCACUUUGACAACUUUUACACUGGAACAUCCAUGUUAGGUUUCUUCUGGAGAAAGCACUUUGGCUAAAUCAGUCAGAAUGGCCCGGAACUAGGUAGCCUCCAUGUGUGCCUAUUUCAGGAAAGAGCAGACAUCACUCAGCUUUCCAUAUGGAAGGGGGUCGAGAUGGCUUAAGCUGACACAGGGAAACGAGGAGGACAGGAUCUUGUCUGUGCAGCCAGGCCUCCCGGGAACCUAGGGGAAGAAGAGUCACCAGGCGCCAGUGUUGGGAGUGCAGCAUGGCCAAGUUGCUGGGAGGCGAAAGUGAAACGUGUUUAGGGUUAAAGGAGGCCAGAGGACUCAGCAGCAGAAGCUGAGCACACGGCUUCAGUCUAGUGACUUCACAACUCUCUCCACCUCCGCCUCCCCCGGGGGUGCUUCUCUUUUCUCCCCCUUUCUCUCUUCCAACUGGCUAAUUAUCACUAGACUUCCCCAUUCAAAUUCCUGGGAAACAUGGCCAGGGCCUGUCAUCAGCUUUCCUUGGUCUUUUUACUUGUGGCACAAUCCUGUGGCUCAGAAUGCAACCAAUCCCGUGCCAGGAGAACCCUGGGGCUCCCAACCCCAGCAGAGGCUGUAGAGGUGCCACAGAUUCCCUUGGAAGGGCAGCAGGUGAUAUAAGCAACUGGGAUGUCCUGUCUGUGAGGCUUCCCAGGCAUCGUGACUGACCUGCCUGAAGGCCUGGCUGGCAUUGUGCUGGCCUACCUAGGACAUUCAACUGUUUGCUUGCCAGGCUCUCAAGGCCUUCUUCCUCUUGAUGCAGUUCCAACAAUGUCCCUACCUACCACAGCCUAUUUCACAUGCAGAUGCUGGUGCACACACCCCCUCAGCCGCUGGUUGGUAGGAUCCAUAAGUGAUGGUGCGGGACUACAUUAUUAUUUUAUCUUAUAUAAUCAUGCACCCCAUAAUGACAUUUUGGUCAACAAUGAAGUAUAUACACAAUGGUAGUCCCAUGAGAUCAUAAUGGAGCUAAAAAAUCCCUAUCAUCUAGUGAUGCCAUAGCCAUUAUAACAUCGCAGUCCAACACAUUACCUUGUCUAUGUUUGGAUUCACAAAUACUUGCCUUUGUGUUAUAAUUGCCUACAGUAUUCAGUACAGUAACAUGUUGUACAGGUUUGUGUCUAGGAGCAAUGGGCCUAUAUAGCAAUAGGACCAUAUAGCCUAGGGGUACAGCAGGCUAUACCAUCAAGGUUUGUCUAAGUACGUGCUAUGAUGUUUGUACAAUGAUGAAAUUGCCUAAGGACGCAUUUCUCGGAAUGUAUCCCCAUUAUUUAAUUUUAUUUAAUUUAAUUUAAUUUUAGAGAUGGAGUCUUGCUCUGUUGCCCAGGCUGGAGUGCAGUGGCGCGAUCUCAGCUCACUGCAAGCUCCGCCUCCCGGGUUCGAGCCAUUCUCCUGCCUCAGCCUCCUGAGUAGGUGGGACUACAGGUGCCCGCCACAAUGCCCGGCUAAUUUUUUGUAUUUUUAGUAGAGACGGGGUUUCACUGUAUUAGCCAGGAUGGUCUCGAUCUCCUGACCUCGUGAUCCACCCGCCUCAGCCUCCCAAAGUGCUGGGAUAACAGGUGUGAGCCACCGUGCCUGGCCGUAUCCCCAUUGUUAAGUGAUGCAUGACUAUAUGAUUCUGAUUACCAAAGUAAUAUAUGUUGGAUGUGCAAAAGUAAAACUGUAUAGAAAAAAAUUAUGUAGAAAGAAAAAGUGCUCCCUAAUUAAACCCAUAGUCGAUAAAUUCAACAGGUUUGUGAAUGUAUCUUCAGAGUUUUUCUAGACAUUUACUUACUUAUUAUUUUUCAGAGGUGGGGUCUCACUAUGUUGCCCAGGCUAGAGUGCUGUGGCUAUUCACAGGUGUGAUCAUAGGCACACAACCAGCCUCGAACUCCAGGCCUCAGGUGAUCCUCCUACCGCAGUCUCCUGAGUAGCUGGGACUGUAGGCAUGCACCACUGCACCCAGCUUCUAGGCAUUUAACAAUGUGUGCAUAUAUUAUAAAUACAUAAUAAAAAUGAAUUCAAAC
rnacentral:lncRNA from 1 species